rnacentral:rRNA from 1 species
CCUACGGGAGGCAGCAGUGAGGAAUAUUGGUCAAUGGGCGGAAGCCUGCACCAGCCAAGUAGCGUGCAGGAUGACGGCCCUACGGGUUGUAAACUGCUUUUAUACGGGAAUAACGCGCCUUACGUGUAGGGCUUUGCAUGUACCGUAUGAAUAAGGACCGGCUAAUUCCGUGCCAGCAGCCGCGGUAAUAAGGAAGGUCCGGGCGUUUUCCGGAUUUAUUGGGUUUAAAGGGAGCGUAGGCCGCAGGUCAAGCGUGCCGUGAAAUGUACGGGCUCAACCCGGGCCUUGCAGCGCGAACUGGCGUGCUUGAGUCCGCGGAAAGCAGGCGGAAUUCGUCGUGUAGCGGUGAAAUGCUUAGAUAUGACGAAGAACCCCGAUUGCGAAGGCGGCUUGCUGCAGCGGAACUGACGCUGAUGCUCGAAAGCGCGGGUAUCGAACAGGAUUAGAUACCCUGGUAGUC